GUCAGGUAGGGAGGGGGACGGAGGCUGUCCUGGCUAGGUAAUGUGGGAUGGCCGGGGUCACAUUCGCCACUUGCUGGUUGGGGAGCCAUGGGCAGUCCGUAACUGCCCUCAUGGGGGAAGAAACAGACCCGGAGGGGUUAAGCAGCUCGCACCAGGUCACACAGGCAGAACACGUGGAGCCAGGCUCUGAACCCCAAACCACGUUGCUUCUCAUGAUACAGUGCAUGCAGUGAAGAAAUAUUCUCUGUGAGGAUUAAACAAAAAACUGUAGGAAGUUUUAUCUUGCUGGUUGUUGUUAACGAGGAACUCCAAGGAUCAGUUGUUGAACACCUACUGCGGGCAGAGGCUGCGCUGGGGCCGCCG